GCCAAGAUGGCCGAGUGGUUAAGGCGAUGGUUUUAAGUAUAAAUAUUUGACACCAUUAUCGAGAGAUUCCAGGGUUCGAACCCCUGUCUUAGCA
rfam:Trichoderma gamsii strain T6085 Scaffolds0015.1, whole genome shotgun sequence.